rnacentral:rRNA from 1 species
AGCAGCCGCGGUAAUUCCAGCUCCAAUAGCGUAUAUUAAAGUUGUUGCAGUUAAAAGCUCGUAGUUGAAUUUCGGGAUCAAUUGAUCGGUCGUGCCUCUGGUACGCACUGGUUUUAUUGGUUUCUCCCUUCUGACGAACCAGGAUGUCAUUAAUUUGGUGUCUUGGAGAAUCAGGACUGUUACUUUGAAAAAUUAGAGUGUUUAAAGCAGGCUAACGCUUGAAUACAUUAGCAUGGAAUAAUGAAAUAGGACGUUUGAUCCUAUUUUGUUGGUUUCUAGGAUCGACGUAAUGAUUAAUAGGGAUAGUUGGGGCAUUAGUAUUCAAUUGUCAGAGGUGAAAUUCUUGGGAUUUUUAUUGAAGACUAACUACUGCGAAAAGCAUUUUUG